GCCUCUAAAAUAGUAACAAAUAUCUUAGUAUUAUUUACGUAUAAUAAUAAAAUAAUUACCAUUUUGUAUACUGAAAUAGUAGCAACUAAACAAGAGUUGUACAAUAUUCAAACAAUACUAACAAAAUAGUAGCAAUAUUGUAAUAGCCCAAAUUUGCCCGGCCCGUAAAAUAAACAAAAAUAAUAAUAAAAGUUCUUCUGCAGUCCAUUUACAAAACCUAAAUUGCUAGCCUAUUUACAUAGCCCAAUUAAAACACUACUUAUGGCCCAUUUACAAACCAUACCGGUAGCACACAUUACACCUAAAACCCUUUAACCCAAACACUCAAACUAGACCCAAAUCAGCGAGGCCCAAGAAGGCCCAUGCCUAAACUGAAUCAGGAAACCCUAGGGUUUCCAGAAACCUUCGCGCCGCAAGCACUCCAAUCGUCACGCCCCUUUGUCUCGCACCGUUCCAGUGACCCUUCAUCGACGCCUCCAUCAGCGCCGUGGCUCCAGCUCCGUAUCGCGCUGGAAUUGGUGCACGAAUCAACGCCAGCACACUCAUCGCCAUGAUAUCCUCGCUGGUACCUGCAAAAAGGAAAGAUCCACAGCAGAAAAGAGAAGCAAAUAUGGAAAUAAAUCAAAUUGAUUUCCCAAAAUGUAAUAAUUUACAGAAGGCUAUAAAAGCCUAUUUUUUCUAAUCUGUAAGGGGGACGAUUUUUACAUAUAUACAAACAGAUACACGCAUAUAUACAGAGAAGAAAGAAAUAAGAGCAGUUUAUUUUUGAAAAAGGUGAUUUAGAUACAUAUUUCGUUCCUUUUAGUUUAUUUCUUUUGUUCAACGCAUAUGAAUCGUUUUUUUACAAAAAAACUGUUAGUAUUUAGAAAAAGGAAAAGAUUACCUGUGAUUCACCCGGAAAAAUGAAGGCUUUUGACCUUCCAACCGCCGUGCACGUGCAGCCCGGUGACCGGAGGCCGGAGCCCGGACGGCUCUUCUCUUCUCCUCUUUUAGAGGAUUUC
rnacentral:lncRNA from 1 species